GAUGGAAAGUGGGCUUAAAGAAGCCAUCUUUUUAGAGUGGGUUAAUCCUCAGUAUUUCUAGUUAAUGAUCAAAUGAAGUUCCUUUUGUUCAACAAAACUUCUUCACGAAACUAAGGAGUGAAGGUAAUAAUGUAAAGAUGAGUAGCUCAGUUUUUGGGGUUUAUUUGGUUCAGGAAAUUAAACGCUAAGUGAACGAUGAUGAUAAGCAAAGCUAAAGGAACUCGGCAACAACGAAAACCGCCUGUUUAGCAAAAACAUGGCUCCUUGAAAUCAUAAGGGGUCGUGCCUUCCCGGUGAGUUUAAACUUAAACGGAUGCGGUAAAGCGUGCUAAGGUAGCUAAGUUAUGGCCUAGUUAAUUGUAGGCCCUGUGAAUGGUUUGACGAGUUUUCUUCUGUCUCUAGCUUGUUUUAGUGAACUUGAAUUGGAUGUGCAAAUGCUUCCUUGCGAAAGAAAGACGAGAAGACCCCGUGAAGUUAGAAAUCUAUGUGCGUGGAGGUAAAAGGUUACUUCCCUUAGCUUAUGGUUUUGG
rnacentral:rRNA from 1 species